AGGCCCUCCGAGUCCCCUCCUCCCCCCGCAACAGCACAGCACAUCACGUCAGACGCGCUCCUUUCUUGGGCCUCCGUAGGGCUUCAGCUGUGCUGGGCCGGAAGCCUGAAGUGAUGGGUCUCGAACAUGCGUCUCGGAGCCCGGCGCAGACCCUGCUUUGCCACAGCUACACAAGAUGGACACGCUCUCUGCCUCCAACCCAGCCUUUGAGCCAACAGUACAUCUUCCAAGCUGCCUGGAUGUGGAUGACUCAGGUCUGAAAAGGAUGCUCCCCUCUUGUCCUCAAGACUGAGCAACACUAAGCCUUGUCGUGCACGGGUGAGCAAUGACCACCACCACCCAGCAGCAACCUGGACUCUGCAAAUGGGGAAGUGCAAGCCCGCUUUACAUAUCUUCAAAUGUAGAAACGACACACACGCAGAGCCAGUAAAACACAAGGUGGAGACAUGGAGACAAGAGAGGUGAAGCAAGGCUGCACAGGAAGGGAUGAAAGCACAAGGACCCAUCCAGUGACAGUGGAGCCCAGGGCUUCUGCUGCUCACUGCCUGUCUUGUCUAGUGCUGCAGGCACACUGACUCAUGCCCCCAUACAGAGUUACAGGCCGCCCCACCACCGGCUCCUGUACAGUGAGCCUCAAACAAGGUGCAGAGGAGGAGGGAGCUUUACUUUGAAGUUGGCACAGAGCUAGUCUGAUAAGUAUGUACACAUUUUGUAUAUAGUCUGUCUGGGUGCGUGCUACUUUUCAUAAUUAAAAUGCAUAUUAAGGGGUGCCUGGGUGGCUCAGUGGUUGAGCAUCUGCCUUUGGCUCAGGGCAUGAUCCCGGGGUCCUGGGAUCGAGUCCUGAAUCACACUUCC